CAGCAGCCGCGGUAAAACGUAGGGCGCAAGCGUUAUCCGGAAUUAUUGGGCGUAAAGAGCUCGUAGGCGGUUUGUCGCGUCUGCCGUGAAAGUCCGGGGCUCAACCCCGGAUCUGCGGUGGGUACGGGCAGACUAGAGUGAUGUAGGGGAGACUGGAAUUCCUGGUGUAGCGGUGAAAUGCGCAGAUAUCAGGAGGAACACCGAUGGCGAAGGCAGGUCUCUGGGCAUUAACUGACGCUGAGGAGCGAAAGCAUGGGGAGCGAACAGGAUUAGAUACCCCUGUAGUCCCUGUCUCUUAUAC
rnacentral:rRNA from 1 species